CCGGAAUCGGGGCGUGAGUCCAGGGCCGGGAAGACAAGAAAGUCACCUCCGGACUACAGUUCCCAGCAUGCACUUCAAGGGCCUCUUUCGACGUGUGCUCUCGGGAAACGUAGUUCGCUGUGGAGCAAGAUUUAAACGUGCAGGUGGCUGUUGAAGUUAAGAGAACUUAGGUAACACCUGGGCUGGACGUUAAGUCAAGGCUACGAACCCGCGUCCCUCCUCCCCCUUUUUGGGAGCCAAAAUAUGUACCAAAGAACACACAUUUAAGAGUUUGUAAUGUGUUAAAGCUCUUUCUCGCUCUUUGUUUUAUUUAGAAAAUUUGAAUUGAACACAGUGAUACCAACAUACAACAGCUGGACUGCGUUCGAAGUAUUUUUUUGGAACUUAGAUGGAACAGGGCCAUAUUCGUGGAAACCGGAGUGGAACUCGUUCUCCCUUUUUCUUGCCCUGACAAAGCAAAAGGAAAGAAACCCCAUCCAGGGCAGAUCAUCUCAAUGCUAGUAUUCGUUUUUAGGAGGCCCACCAGGAACAAGAAGGAAGAGAGAGGUAAAAGGAUCACCUAUCUGCAGCAGCAGAGCUGGUGCAUGGCCAUGAGAAGAGGAGGACGAGUGUUCUCCAUUACCCCCUCCUCCCUCUCCCUACACCCAGGAGUUGUGGCGUUUAUGUGCGCCUGUCUGGGGAUGGGCUGCUGCAGUCAUAAGGAAUGUCCAGGACAGGAUAAAAAAAUUCCUUCCUUGAACUGGAAGGUUUGAAAUAAAGAUAUUUCGUGCUUAUUU
rnacentral:lncRNA from 1 species